AGGGACAGGGCUGGGGGGGCCUGCUGCAGGGCCACGGGCCACAGGCCCCUGGGGAGGCUGAGUGUGGACAGGAGAGGCUGAAGGUGCAUGUCCGGUUGUCCCGCCUGCCUGGGGCCACCCCACAGUGCCCGGGUGAUCGGAUCAGUGACACGGGCCUCUGGGUGCCAGUGACGGUGUGAGCACAGACCUGCUGCUGGCCUGUGCUGGUGACAUGGGACUCCCUGGGCUGUGUGUGCUCCCUUGCCAACGCUCAGUGCAGUUUCACAGUUUAAUGAAGACUGACAUGCUGGGAGAAAACAAAGGCAAUCCAGCUGCUGCCUCUUGCUGGCACAUGCAUCAGCAAUUACCGGUGACCCUGCGGGCUGGCAGAGACACCCCAGAGCACCCCGCAGUCAUCAGCCCCAGGCAGCCCAGUCCUGUGUCUUGGAGAGCUCCUGCCCAAAAGGUCUGGCUGGGGGUGUGCAGGGAAUGGGGUGCCCACAACAUGGGGCAUGCCAGCACGGGCAUCUCAGUGUCCAGGUUCGGUAUCCAGGCUUUCACUCCAUCUGUUAAGAAGUGUCUGGCCACCAACCAUGACUCAGCGCAGCCUCUCACCCCACCAUGCUGCCAGGGUCCUGCCAUCCCUGUGGGCUCAACCAGCUUCAGUCUCACGAUGUUCAAAGUCACCAACUAGCCCAUGCAGUGCCUCAGCCUCAAGCCAGGGCAGAAAUGUCAGCCCAGGAGUCCUCUCCAGUCUUAAGGUUUUUUCUGUUUUAGCACCAGGAGUUUGCUUCAUGCCAUUCAGUACGUUAAAAUAUGCAAAAUGAGGUGCUGCUGCAAACCUCAUUAACAUCCGCCUCCAACAUCAUUAAGAUGUUUCCAAGAAAAUUAAUUGAGAGACUCAUUAAAAAUAAAUUAAGAAAAAUGUGUUGCAGAGCGCCUGCUCCAAGCUCGUAAAUCACGGCUCAGAGCUCCAGGCCGCUGCACAGGCAAUUAACGCCAGCCAAUUUGUUUUAUCCUGGCUGCGAAAAUUAGAAAGCAGACAUGGAGAUUAGAUUAGGCAUGUCUGUCAAGCGGAACUUGGAGUGAAUAUUUUAGGAUACAAAAUGGAAAUCAGAAAAACAAAGCUGGGCCUUCAUUCAGGAGAGCUGGCGGGCAGAGUGGCUGGGGUGGAAGGAGGUUUGUGUGUUCUCUGUGCCAGGGCUGUGUGUCGAUGACACCCAUCUCAUGGUCAUGCCACCAGCAGCUCUGUCCUCCCCUGCACAUCGCCCAUCCUUGGUGGCUGCGCAGACGCCAAUCACCCCUCCUGGGGAGCAUGAGCUCACAGUGAGAGCGUUCUGAGCUGCUGUGUGUGACACAGCCCAAGCCAACACGUUGCCCGUAUGUGCUGAUUACACACUUGAAUUAGCAAACACAGUGCAACUGGGUGAGACCACUGCUUGGGCCUCCAUCAGCUUUAGGCUGUUAGUGCUCCUUUGUCCAUCUCCAGUAUCUUCCAUCACAGGAGCUCAAGCCACUUGAUAUUCAUGAAACAAACUGCAGGGCCCCUCUGCAAAACAAGUGCCGUGAUCCCUGUUUCACACAGAUGAGCCAAAGAAGAGAUGACUUAA